UAACAAGGAUUCCCCUAGUAACUGCGAGUGAAGCGGGAAAAGCUCAAAUUUAAAAUCUAACAGUUUCACUGUUCGAGUUGUAAUCUGGAGAAGCAUUUUCCGUGUUGGACCGUGUACAAGUCUCUUGGAAUAGAGCGUCAUAGAGGGUGAAAAUCCCGUCCAUGACACGGACUACCGAUACUUUGUGAUAUGCUCUCGAAGAGUCGAGUUGUUUGGGAAUGCAGCUCAAAAUGGGUGGUAAAUUCCAUCUAAAGCUAAAUAUUGGCGAGAGACCGAUAGCGAACAAGUACCGUGAGGGAAAGAUGAAAAGUACUUUGGAAAGAGAGUUAAACAGUAUGUGAAAUUGUUGAAAGGGAAACGCUUGAAGUCAGUCGCGUUGUCUGAGACUCAGCCUUGCUCUUUUGCCUGGUGUAUUUCUUAGUUAACGGGUCAACAUCAAUUUUGGUUGGUGGAUAAAGGUGGAGGGAAUGUGGCAUUCUUCGGGAUGUGUUAUAGCCCUUUAUUGCAUACACUGACUGGGAUUGAGGAACGCAGCACGCCUUUUUGGCCGGGGGUUCGCCUCACGUAACGUGCUUAGGAUGUUGACAUAAUGGCUUUAAGCGACCCGUCUUGAAACACGGACCAAGGAGUCUAACAUGCUCGCGAGUGUUAGGGUGGAAAACCCUUGCGCGUAAUGAAAGUGAAAAUUGGGACCCUUCACGGGGGCACCGAUGCCCGGCCCUAAUGUCUCUGACGGUGCUGCGGUAGAGCGCGUAUGUUGGGACCCGAAAGAUGGUGAACUAUGCCUGAAUAGGGUGAAGCCAGGGGAAACUCUGGUGGAGGCUCGUAGCGAUUCUGACGUGCAAAUCGAUCGUCAAAUUUGGG
rnacentral:rRNA from 1 species